rnacentral:rRNA from 1 species
UACGUAGGUGACCAGCGUUGUCCGGAUUUACUGGGCGUAAAGAGCGCGCAGGCGGUCGUUUAAGUCGAGUGUGAAAGCCCCCGGCUCAACUGGGGAGGGUCACUCGAUACUGGUCGACUUGAAGGCAGGAGAGGGAAGCGGAAUUCCCGGUGUAGUGGUGAAAUGCGUAGAUAUCGGGAGGAACACCAGUGGCGAAGGCGGCUUCCUGGCCUGUUCUUGACGCUGAGGCGCGAAAGCUAGGGGAGCAAACGGG